UGCACACUGCUUAUGCCAAGUACAGGAAGUCCUUGUAGUACAGAAUUAUGCAAGCCCUGUUUGACUUUCAGAGCUUUCUUUGAUGUCUGUCUUUGUGUCUUACGGAACACAAGGAGUGGGGAGAAGUACCUGCCUAUGAAAAAACAGCAACACUUUCAAAGAAAAGGCUGGAUGUCACCUCUCGAAAUGCAGUGCUCCAGAAACAGAAGCAGAUGGCUCCUUCUAGGUAAAGCAGUCCUAGGAAAUUACCUGUGUGUCCAUGAAGAGGGGAAUGUGGCCGCGGGAGAGUUGGAGAUGUGCUGGAUGUUACGAUCAAACUCUUUCUGUUGCUUGUCCG